rnacentral:rRNA from 1 species
CCUACGGGUGGCAGCAGUGAGGAAUAUUGGUCAAUGGGCGCAAGCCUGAACCAGCGAAGUCGCGUGAGGGAAGACGGGCCUAUGGAUUGUAAACCUCUUUUGUCGGGGAGCAAAGCGCGGUACGAGUACCAUGAAGGAGAGUACCCGAAGAGAAAGCAUCGGCGAACUCCGUGCCAGCAGCCGCGGUAAUACGGGGGAUGCGAGGGUUAGCCGGAUUUAUGGGGUUUAAAGGGUGGGUAGGCGGAUUAGUAAGUCAGCGGUAAAAAUGCGGUGCUCAACGCCGGAGCGCCGUUGAAACUGCGUGUCGUGAGUGCGGGAGAAGUAUGCGGAAUGCGUGGUGUAGCGGUGAAAUGCGUAGAUAUCACGCAGAACACCGAUUGCGAAGGCAGCAUACCGGCGCUCAACUGACGUUGAGGCACGAAAGCGUGGGGAUCGAACAGGAUUAGAUACCCUUGUAGUC